rnacentral:tRNA from 1 species
GCCCACGUGGCUCAGUGGUUGAGCGUCGGCCUAUGAACCAGGAGGUCAUGGUUUGAUUCCCGUUGGGGGCA